rnacentral:rRNA from 1 species
CAGCAGCCGCGGUAAUACGUAGGUGGCAAGCGUUGUCCGGAAUUAUUGGGCGUAAAGCGCGCGCAGGUGGUUUAAUAAGUCUGAUGUGAAAGCCCACGGCUCAACCGUGGAGGGUCAUUGGAAACUGUUAAACUUGAGUGCAGGAGAGAAAAGUGGAAUUCCUAGUGUAGCGGUGAAAUGCGCAGAGAUUAGGAGGAACACCAGUGGCGAAGGCGGCUUUUUGGCCUGUAACUGACACUGAGGCGCGAAAGCGUGGGGAGCGAACAGGAUUAGAUACCCCGGUAGUCCCUGUCUCUUAUAC